rnacentral:lncRNA from 10 species
AGGGAAAGAAUCCGCUUUGCAUGUCGGGAGUAGUAGUUUGUGUAAUAUCGCGAUCCUUCUCUGGUGUUCCUUGUUUUAGCUGACGACACUCGAGAGCGCCAAUUUUCCUAGAUUCGAUUUUGUGGUUUGGAACUGUGGUUUUGGAAUCCAGAGUAGUCGCCUCGUUCUAGUAUCCAAUUGCUCCAGCACCAACUGGUGAAAAGACCAUCAUUCUUCUACUCAGUUGCAUUUGAAGCUUUGUCAAAAACCAGACACAAUUGGAGACACAGGUUCUUCUAUCAAGGCCUUGACUGGAAUGGCAUAUUUUCAGAUAUGACCACAUUGCUUUGAGGAAAUGAGGCUGAUGUUGCAGAGCUGAUAAAACCCCCACAGAAAGGCCAGCCUACCUCUGACCAGAUGUCUUCUUUGCUGGGGCAGCCUCUCUCCUCUUCCCC